UACUCACACAUGAGAUAGAGAGAGAGAGAGAGAGAGAGAGAGAGAGAGAGAGAGGAUUGAUGGCUGAAUUUGUUCAGCUGCUGAUGCAGAUGUUGUAUAGGUUCUUCCACAGAGUUGGGAGAUUCACCCUGCUCAAAUAUAAAGAAGAUAAAUUAGAAGUUAAUUAUGAAGAGGAAGAAGAAGAUGACAAGGUGGAAAUUUUAAGCCUACAGAGCAGAGAGAUUAAAGUGAGUCUGGCUUCAGCAACUCUUCCAACCCCAACGCCAUCACCAAGCCCUCAGACCGAAUAAAGAGUGAUGGACGGUCGAGAUCCUUUUGGAUCUUCUAUAUGCCGUGCUUUAUUUUCAAUUAGUGAGGUAAUUAAGGUAAUUAUUAUGUAUUAUGCAUAUUAUUUGCAUGAGGUUUAGUGGAGUUGGUGAUGAAGAAGGCCAUGAUGUGGUGAGUGAUGUAAUUAUCCUCUUUAGAGGUAUUUUAUUAUAAAAAAAAAAACUAUAUUAUAAGA